AGAGUUUGAUCAUGGCUCAGGAUGAACGCUAGCUACAGGCUUAACACAUGCAAGUCGAGGGGCAGCAUGUUGGUUGCUUGCAACCAACGAUGGCGACCGGCGCACGGGUGAGUAACGCGUAUCCAACCUACCCUUGUCCAUCGGAUAACCCGUCGAAAGGCGGCCUAACACGAUAUGCGGUUCACGGCAGGCAUCUAAGGUGAACGAAAUGUGAAGGAGAAGGAUGGGGAUGCGUCUGAUUAGCUUGUUGGCGGGGUAACGCCCACCAAGGCUACGAUCAGUAGGGGUUCUGAGAGGAAGGUCCCCCANAUUGGAACUGAGACACGGUCCAAACUCCUACGGGGAGCA
rnacentral:rRNA from 1 species